rnacentral:rRNA from 1 species
UACGUAGGGUGCGAGCGUUAAUCGGAAUUACUGGGCGUAAAGCGUGCGUAGGCGGUUAUUUAAGUCAGGUGUGAAAGCCCUGGGCUUAACCUAGGAAUUGCGCUUGAGACUGGAUAGCUUGGAGUGCGGCAGAGGGAGGUGGAAUUCCACGUGUAGCAGUGAAAUGCGUAGAGAUCGGGAGGAACACCAGUGGCGAAGGCGGUGGCCUGGGCCGAUGCUGACGCUGAGGCGCGAAAGCGUGGGGAGCGAUCCGG